rnacentral:lncRNA from 1 species
CUCGUCAAUGAGAGAAAUGAGAGAAAGGGGCUCCCUCUAUUCUGUGAGCAGUUGCAGGUACAAAGUUGGUCCAUGCCCCAGUACCCAUCUGUCUGAGCUAGGGGAAAAUGCAAGCUUGAACACUCAGAAUUUGAGUCCUGUGUCUCGGAGGCAGCCGCUCCUGUGAGAUCUUCCACAAAACACAGCUGCACCAGUCCUGCUGCCUUGCCAUGCCCAGCAGGAUGGGAGGGCUCAGGGAAAUCGGCUGCACCUUUACAGUGGAAAUUGCAAAACCUAUUAAAUUGUCUUCUGUCAUCAGUAAUUUUGGUUAUACUACUGAGCUCAACAUGAUUUUAAAGCAGAGAACUGGAGUCAAGCCUUACACAGCUUCCUCCUGAAACCUGGACUCCACAGCAGCCAAAACUAGUGAGUGGUGGCACGAUCACAGCUGAAUCCAAAGAGCUCCAACACACAGCACAUAUUGUAGUCAACUUUCUACAGGAUUAUGAGGAUUAUCUCCUAAAAAAAGAUCAAAAUAAGGCAGACCUUCUGAACAAAGGGAAAUCUCUAACUAGCAGUG